rnacentral:rRNA from 1 species
UGCACAGGCGGACUUUUAAGUCAGUGGUGAAAUCCCGAGGCUCAACCUCGGAACUGCCAUUGAUACUGGAAGUCUUGAAUUUGGUUGAAGUGGGCGGAAUGUAGCAUGUAGCGGUGAAAUGCUUAGAUAUGCUACAGAACACCGAUCGCGAAGGCAGCUCACUAAGCCAAUAUUGACGCUCAGGCACGAAAGCGUGGGGAGCAAACAGGAUUAGAUACCCUGGUAGUCC